rnacentral:lncRNA from 1 species
GUAAUGACUUCCUGGCUCAAACUGGAAGGAUGGAUUUGUUGGUAUAAUUUGGUCUUACUUCAUUUCAGUCCCAUCAUCUCCAACUUGGGAAUGCAGCCCAUAGUGGUAGCUACACUUGCCACAUGCUGAACAUGGCUGAUUGAAACCAGAGUCACUCCAGGAUCCAUGUGUGAGCCAAAAGAGCAGGAGACCUGGAGGAUUGAAGGCAAUGAGGCCUGAAAGAAAUGAGCCUUUUUUGAGGAAGGGGAUGGCUGGUGGGUUUACUUCAAAGAAGCUGUCAGAUGGAGUAAAGCAGCUGAAAAUUUCUCACAGCAGGCCUGUAUCAAAACCCACUGGGCCUGUCAAUGUUUUCUGGUGCAAUCCGUGCUUUCAGGGCCACGGAUCAACUCUGGUUUCACGCUUGGGUAAAGACAGCUUCAAGUGUGUCAGAAUCACUAGUUCUGACUCUUGUGUCCAGCCUACGCUCAGCCAGACCAUUCAUGUACUGGCCUCCACAUGCACCUCAAAACACACCCAACAGGACAAGAACUAGGUUCAUGUGACAUUUCUCAUCGGAGCCUAUAAAGUGAGUAAAUUGGAAGUGAUGUUAUAUUUGCAUUUUGGUUGUGAGGUCUUAGAUAUGUCACAGUGCUCGGCACAUAGUAAGCUCUUAACAAAUACCAACAUUAUUAUUUAGGCCCCAGCCACCUCUUUCAGAUGUAGAAAUCAGUCAAUCAAUCGUAUCCGAGAGCUUACUGUGUGCAGACACUGUACUAAAUGUUUGGGAGAGUACAGUAAACAAUAUCAUAGACAUUCCCUCCCCACAGCGAGUUUAUAGUCUAGAGGGGGAGACAGACAUUAAUAUAAAUAAAUAAUCGAGGCACUGGACAGAGUUUUUAUAUUUACCAGUUGCCCAGAAAGCCUGUGGCAUUUGCAAUUAGAACUUUCUUCUUGCAUUUAUGUAAAAGGAUAGUCCAGUGUUCCUCUUAGGAAUAAGAGAAGUUCUAGAAAUAGAAUGUCUUAAGCACUUACCAUGUGCAGAGCAUCAAGCACUUAGGGUGCUCUCCACACAG